rnacentral:lncRNA from 1 species
AAACUCACAGACCAAUGCCAGGGGCAACCAGAUCUACAUGUGAUUUUAAUGGGUUAUUUUUAGGACAUCAUAAGGAAUUCGGGAAUCCUUGAAAGUGGAAUGCGUGAUGUCCAUCAGUGACUUCAGGGUUCGUGGAGCAAACGCUAUGGUAGCACCGGGAAGAACAGUGGGUGAGAGGUGACCCCAAAGUUCAGGAAUAUUGCUUCUGACCCCACUUCCUCAGCUAGCACGUCUGGUGUGUCACAGCAGAGUCCAGCAAAGGUAACCAACAACAGAGGGAAAACUAGACACAGUUGCCUGGAAUAAAUACGAAAUGUAAGAACAAA